UAGUGUGACCAACUAUCCUAGUUUGCCCAGGACUAAGGGAUUCCUCAAGAUAUGGGACCUUCUGUGUGAAAACUAAGGAGGUCCUGGGCAAACCAGGAUGAGUUGGUCACCCUAGUUACUA
rnacentral:pre_miRNA from 1 species